GUCUACAGCCAUACCACCAUGAACGGGCCCAAUCUCGUCUGAUCUCAGAAGCUAAGCAGGGUGGGCCUGGUUAGCACUUGGAAGGGAGAGACGUGACGAUAUGCGUGGACA
rnacentral:rRNA from 1 species